UGUGAUUGGAUCACCCAAGACGCAUGUUAUUGCCAGGUGUGAACAGGGCCAAAGUGACGAAAUGAGGAAAAUUGAAGAUAAAUUUCAAGAUAGAUUGCUGAACCUUUACGCUAUGCUUUGCAGCACCACAGAGCUUGUUGAAAACUUGUAAUAAAAGAAGUUCUGAUGGGGAAAAUGAAGUUUGAGAAUACAGGUGGUAUUAAUGCAGCGAGGGGCCUUGUGGGGGAACUACAGCAGCUCGGAGGAAAUUCAGUCGCUGUGUGAAGCUGGACUUCGAUUCUCCAGAAUGCAUGCAGAGCCUAGUGAGCACAAAAGAGGAGGGGAGAAAAUGGAAGGACAGACAGACACAGAAGAUUGCAAGCAGAGAAAGAAACAUGUGACAGGAGGGGAACGGCAGGGAUGGGGAACAGCUUUUACCCUGCUUGUGGUUCAGGUAAGGACCAGGUGUGGCAAUUCAAGUCAUGCAUGACUUAGCACUUCUCUCUCACUCAGCACACCUAGGGCAUACCGUAGAGGAACCAUGGGGGAAGGGGGAGGCCAAGAGAUUGCCCCACCAUGGCAACCAGGAGCCACGAGCAGGGUGACGCUCACCAGGCAUGGCCGAUGAAGACACAGCAGGGAACCACAAAGGGCCAGACAGCACUACAAGGCAUCCUCCGCUGACCCCAUGGACCAGAAGAUGAGCCACCACAGGAGUCUGAAGUGCAGCAGCCCGUGUCCAUUUGGCGUGAAUACUUCAGCCUGGCUGGUAGCCUGUUGUUACCUCACAGGAAAACUGUGAGUAUCUGUCACCAUUGUUUUGCGGUGGACACCGGGAGGGCCGGCUGUGGGGCAAGGGGUGGCAAAUCUGAGCUGGUGUAUCUGCAGGAUACUGGUGGUGGUUGUCUUUUUCCUCAGGAUGAGAGGACCGUGGUGGUCACAAGACAUGAGGAGCCAAGGACUGUAUGCGUGGAAAGGGGAAGGGACCACUGAGGACAUUGCAGCUGCUGGCAUUCGUGUUGGACUGGUGGAGAGACAUUAACCGUAAUGGACUUGUAUGGGGACUUUUAAGCUUGUUGUUUAUUUAAGAGACAUUUUAGGAUUCUUAGACAUUUUAUAGUUGCCUUUGAUUGUUGUUAUAUUGUAAUA